rnacentral:rRNA from 1 species
GACGAACGCUGGCGGCGUGCUUAACACAUGCAAGUCGAACGGAAAGGCCCUGCUUUUGUGGGGUGCUCGAGUGGCGAACGGGUGAGUAACACGUGAGUAACCUGCCCUUGACUUUGGGAUAACUUCAGGAAACUGGGGCUAAUACCGGAUAGGAGCUCCUGCUGCAUGGUGGGGGUUGGAAAGUUUCGGCGGUUGGGGAUGGACUCGCGGCUUAUCAGCUUGUUGGUGGGGUAGUGGCUUACCAAGGCUUUGACGGGUAGCCGGCCUGGGAGGGUGACCGGCCACAUUGGGACUUGAGAUACGGCCCAGACUACUACGGGAGGCAGCAGUGGGGAAUAUUGCACAAUGGGAGGAAGCCUGAUGCAGCAACGCCGCGUGCGGGAUGACGGCCUUCGGGUUGUAAACCGCUUUCGCCUGUGACGAAGCGUGAGUGACGGUAAUGGGUAAAGAAGCACCGGCUAACUACGUG